UACGUAGGGUGCGAGCGUUGUCCGGAAUUACUGGGCGUAAAGAGCUUGUAGGUGGUUUGUCGCGUUGUUCGUGAAAUCUCACGGCUUAACUGUGAGCGUGCGGGCGAUACGGGCAGACUAGAGUACUGCAGGGGAGACUGGAAUUCCUGGUGUAGCGGUGGAAUGCGCAGAUAUCAGGAGGAACACCGGUGGCGAAGGCGGGUCUCUGGGCAGUAACUGACGUGAGAAGCGAAAAGCGUGGGGAGCGAACAGG
rnacentral:rRNA from 1 species